rnacentral:tRNA from 1 species
UCUAAUGUGGCAGAAAGUGCAGUAAAUUUAAGAUUUAUAAAAAAGGCUUAUAAUUCUUCUUUAGAA